CCUGCCCCUAGAGGCAUUGCAGAUGUGGCUGAUAUGUCACAUGUGUGUCAGGUGCAAAGAGGAGAGAGGCUAUGUCUAUGCACAGUGUUCUGACACUAUAAACAUCUGAAUGAUCAGUAGCCUAACAUU